GAUGAACGCUGGCGGCGUGCCUAAUACAUGCAAGUCGAGCGAACGGACGAGAAGCUUGCUUCUCUGAUGAUAGCGGCGGACGGGUGAGUAACACGUGGAUAACCUACCUAUAAGACUGGGAUAACUUCGGGAAACCGGAGCUAAUACCGGAUAAUAUUUUGAACCGCAUGGUUCAAAAGUGAAAGACGGUCUUGCUGUCACUUAUAGAUGGAUCCGCGCUGCAUUAGCUAGUUGGUAAGGUAACGGCUUACCAAGGCAACGAUGCAUAGCCGACCUGAGAGGGUGAUCGGCCACACUGGAACUGAGACACGGUCCAGACUCCUACGGGAGGCAGCAGUAGGGAAUCUUCCGCAAUGGGCGAAAGCCUGACGGAGCAACGCCGCGUGAGUGAUGCAGGUCUUCGGAUCGUAAAACUCUGUUAUUAGGGAAGAACAUAUGUGUAAGUAACUGUGCACAUCUUGACGGUACCUAAUCAGAAAGCCACGGCUAACUACGUG
rnacentral:rRNA from 1 species